CCUGCACAAGCUCUUUUGCCUACCACCAUGUAAGAUGUGACUUUGCUUCUCCUUUGCCUUCUGCCAUGACUGUGAGGCCUCCCCAGCCAUGUGAAACUGUGUUUCCAAGGGAAAGCAUGUGGCAUUUCACCUGAGUUAUGUAUUGUUUCAAACAUCCAGUGGAGGGUUUCUGGUAUCUCUCUUGAACUCUGGUGUUUUUACAAGAGGCACACAAAAGAGAGACACAGAGAGAAGAUGAGAAGACUGAGGCAGACAUUGGAAUGACGCAACCAGGAGCCAAGGAAUGCCUGGAUCCAUGGGAAGCAGAAGAGGCUUUCUCACCAUGUGAUGCAUUCUGCUAUGUUAUGAUACAGCAAGAAGGGCCUCACAAGAUGUGACCUCUUGUUCUUGGACUUCUCAGCCUCCAGAAUCAUGAGAGGGAGUGAGAGAAGUCAAACCUCUACCAGACUAGACAGAAUUUGCAUGUCUAUCUCUUACCUCCCCUCUUUGAGCCGAAGGACUAGAGGAACAAAAGACUCAGCCCCAAGGUUAUCCGCUGCUGCUGCCCCCGAGACAGUAAGACCGACUCCUCCUCUUUCUCCUCCUCUUCAUCCUACUCUAUGUGAAGACAAGAAUGAAGAUCUUUGUGACGAUCCACUUCCAGUGAAUGAUUACUAAGAGUAUCCACGUGACCUGGACCUGGGUGAGUGGGUCCUAGAAAAAUUUUUGCUUUCUUGCUACUCUUCCUUCUUCUCACUGGAAUGUAAAUGUAAAGGGUGGAGCUGCAGCAGCCAUCUUGCUAUCACAAAAGAAAGACUGAGAGAACAGCAGAAGAGUUGACCUUAAUGUUGUUGAACCACUGAAUCAACGCUGUAAACAAUCUAUCUCCAAAAUUCUUGGUAUGUGAGAAACUAAACUACUGUUUAUUUAAGUUGGGUUGUCUGUUAAGUGCAGCUGAAUGUCUUCCUAAUUGAUACAGAAAUGCAUUUAAAAAAUAGCAUGCACACUUUUUAGUAUGAGCUAAGAAAAUGAGUAAGAACACAGCACAUUGAACCCAAUUUUGCAUUUGCAAUCCCCAAAGAACCCUGGUACACUUUUGUAGAAUAUUAAUGUGAAACCUAAGUUUGGGGAAUGUCUCUGAUGAGAAGUUGGGAAACAGAAAUAGAUGAGACCUAUCUAUGGUGCAAAGAUAAAUUUUGGUUAGAAAGAAAAGAGCAAGAACAUGCACAAAAAUGUGUGGCAGAACCAGGCUGUGGGCAGGAACCAGAGGAGCUGUCUACUAUGGUUGUAUUUAAUAUGACUGCUGAGGACAAAGCUCUGAUUUUUUUAUCUGGCCCAAAUUCCUAUCUAAGGUGUCUGGAGAGUCAUGCCUUACAAACCAUACAUUCUCAUCAGAUGGGUUUUAUUUAACCCCAUAUAUUGUGACUUUCCAAUCUGACUCUGGCAUAAUAUUAUGUGACAAAAAAGAAAGUCAAAAUAUUUUACUCCAAAACAUCUUUCUUUGUCUUAUUUUGAAAUGGCCCUGCAAAUGUGUCCUUUGUGGGGGGAAAUUUAUACCUGUAAAGAAUCUCUAUUAACAUAGCUAUAUCUUUUUCUUCCUGGCCCUCCCAAUCCUAAAGAGAUUGAGUAAGAGUCUAGCACCUUUUAAAGGUCUGAAUAGGAAACAUUUGUCAUCUAUUCCCCCGAAGAACAGCCACUGUAAGACUUCAAAAGAACUGUGGUCUGCACAAUCUUUUAUCUUAACCUGAACAUUUCUUUUCUAUGGAACCCAGGUCUUUAGACAAACUCAACCAAUUGUCAACCAGAAAAUGUUUAAAUGUUUCUAUAGCCUGGAAGCCGCCUCCUCCCCACCACCAUCCCAUUCCACUUUGAGUUGUCUGGUUUUUCUAGACCAAACCAAUGUAUUUCUUAAAUGUAUUUGUUUGAUGUCUCAUGCCUCCCUAAAAUGUACAAAACCAAGCUGUGUCCAACCACCUUGGGCACAUGUCCUCAGGACCUUCUGAGGGCUGUGUCACCAGAUGUGGUCAUUCAUAUUUGGCUCAGAAUAAAUCUCUUCAAAUAUUU
rnacentral:lncRNA from 1 species